UACGUAGGGGGCAAGCGUUGUCCGGAUUUAUUGGGCGUAAAGCGCGCGCAGGCGGUCUUUUAAGUCUGGUGUUUAAGUGCGGGGCUCAACCCCGUGACGCACUGGAAACUGGGAGACUUGAGUGCAGAAGAGGAGAGCGGAAUUCCACGUGUAGCGGUGAAAUGCGAAGAGAUGUGGAGGAACACCAGUGGCGAAGGCGGCUCUCUGGACAGUAACUGACGCUGAGACGCGAAAGCGUGGGGAGCAAACAGG
rnacentral:rRNA from 1 species